rnacentral:misc_RNA from 1 species
UUGGCGACCGUUUCUAUUUUCUCUCUGGUUUUGUCGUCGGGUCGGCCCGCAAGGAAGGGGUCUUUGUUUGCGUUUCACGUUCGCGUCGCACGGUAUCAUCUGCGACCGCGGCUCUAUCGUAUCGUUACCGAGACGGAAUGUGCCCGCAUAAGUGGAAGCGUGGGUCUCGCUCCUCCCGGUCGAUGUGAAAUGUGGUGCAGUGUGCCAGAGUGGCGCCGUCAUCGAGUGCAAGUGCAGUGAGGUGCAGUGGUGUGUGAGAGCGCGCGUGGGUCGACUCGGCCACGGCGAGCGAGGUGCGCGGAGUUGGCGGCGGCCGCGCGGCCAUGACCGGCGACAUGCCUCUAGGGAGCGCGCACGCGUUCGGGCGCGCGUUGCUCCGGGACGGGGCGCUGCCGCCGCUGGAGCCCGGCCCGCCCGCGCCGCCGGCCAACAACGCGCAGCCGCCCGACAAGCGGCCACCCGCCGCGGCGGCCAGCCCCGAGCAGGUCAUGAAGCUCUACAUGAGCAAGCUCACCCCAUACGAACACCGUGAGAUAUUCGACUACCCCCAAGUGUACUUUAUAGGCGCGAACGCCAAGAAACGGCCCGGGCUGGUCGGCUUCCCGAACAAUUGCGACUACGACAACGAGCAAGGCUCGUAUAUCCACAUCCCGCACGAUCACAUAGCGUACAGAUACGAGGUGCUCAAAGUGAUCGGCAAGGGGAGCUUCGGGCAGGUGGUGAAGGCGUACGACCACAAGAAGCGCGAGAACGUCGCGCUCAAGAUGGUGCGCAACGAGAAGCGCUUCCACCGCCAGGCGCAGGAGGAGAUCCGCAUCCUCGAGCACCUGCGCGAGCAAGACAAGGACAACACGAUGAACGUGAUCCACAUGUUCGACUCGUUCACCUUCAGGAACCACACAUGCAUCACAUUCGAGUUGCUGUCGAUCAACUUGUACGAGCUGAUCAAGAAGAACAAGUUCCAAGGGUUCUCGCUGCAGCUCGUCCGCAAGUUCUCGCACAGCUUGCUGCAGUGCCUGCACGCGCUGAACAAGAACCGGAUCAUCCACUGCGACAUGAAGCCGGAGAACGUACUGCUCAAGCAACAGGGACGCUCCGGAAUCAAGGUGAUAGACUUCGGCAGCUCGUGCUACGAGCACCAACGAGUGUACACAUACAUCCAGUCGAGGUUCUACAGGGCGCCCGAGGUGAUGAUGGGCGCUAGGUACGGCAUGCCCAUUGACAUGUGGUCGCUAGGCUGUAUAUUGGCUGAGCUACUUACAGGGUUCCCAUUACUCCCAGGCGAGGACGAAGCGGACCAAAUGGCGUGCAUCAUCGAGCUCCUGGGCAUGCCUCCUCAGAAGCUGAUCGAACAGGGCAAGAGGUCCAAGAACUUCAUCAGCAGCAAGGGCCUUCCUCGGUAUUGUACGGCCACCACGCUAGCUGAUGGCACUACUGUUCUUAGUGGAGGAAUGUCGAGAAGAGGCAAGCCUAGGGGUCCGCCAGGGUCCAAAAGUUUUGUCACAGCCCUCAAAGGCUGUCAAGACAAAUUCUUCAUUGAUUUUAUUAGAAGGUGUCUAGAAUGGGACCCAGAAAAACGUCUAACACCAGCCCAAGCGUUACGGCACGCGUGGCUGCGCCGGCGCCUGCCGCGGCCGCCGCACGACGACGAGCCGGCGCCCGCGCCGCUGCCGCUGCCGCACUCGCUGCCGGCCAACCACGUUAGUAUAGCGCACCAUGCCAAGCGGCUCGCGCAUCCUAAGUGCACUGACAAAUAGCAGAUGAGCGGCGGGUGCGGGGCGGGCGCGGGCGGGUCGGGCGCGGCGCGCGGGGGCUCGCUGCGCACGCCGCUGGCGCGCACGCCGGUCACCUUCAACGCCUCGCAAGUCGCCAAAGCGAAACUUCAGGCGGCGCUGU